AAUGAACGCUGGCGGCGUGCCUAACACAUGCAAGUCGAACGGCAACACGGUAAGAUCUUUCUCUUACGGGUGGCGGGUGGCGGACGGGUAAGGAAUACAUCGCAAUCUACUUUUUCUUGGAUGAUAACGGAAAGAAACUGACGCUAAUACCUCAUACUACGUACCGGUUGAAUCAAUGGAUCUUCAGAGCUUUCGCGACUGUAUUAGCCGGUGUCGGAUUAGCUAGUUGGCGUGGUAAAGGCCCACCAAGGCGACGAUACGUAGCUGGUCUGAGAGGAGGAUCAGCCACACUGGAACUGAGACACGGUCCAGACUCCUACGGGAGGCAGCAGUGGGGAAUAUUGGGCAAUGGGCGCAAGCCUGAUCCAGCAAUACCGCGUGGGUGAAGAAGGCCUUCGGGUUGUAAAGCCCUUUUGUUGGGAAAGAAAAGAAGCAGGUUAAUCCGUGGCUGUUUUGACGGUACCCAAAGAAUAAGCCACGGCUAACUACGUG
rnacentral:rRNA from 1 species